UGGAUGAUCUCUGGGUUCCCCUCUAGUC
rnacentral:piRNA from 1 species